rnacentral:rRNA from 1 species
GACGAACCGUGCGAACGUUGUUCGGAAUCACUGGGCUUAAAGGGCGCGUAGGCGGUUCAUCAAGUCAGGGGUGAAAUCUUUCGGCUCAACCGGAAAAGUGCCCCUGAUACUGAUGAUCUCGAGGGAGGUAGGGGUCCGCGGAACUUCUGGUGGAGCGGUGAAAUGCGUUGAUAUCAGAAGGAACGCCGGUGGCGAAAGCGGCGGACUGGAUCUCUUCUGACGCUGAGGCGCGAAAGCCAGGGGAGCAAAC